rnacentral:rRNA from 1 species
GAUGAACGCUGGCGGCGUGCCUAAUACAUGCAAGUCGAGCGAAUGGAUUAAGAGCUUGCUCUUAUGAAGUUAGCGGCGGACGGGUGAGUAACACGUGGGUAACCUGCCCAUAAGACUGGGAUAACUCCGGGAAACCGGGGCUAAUACCGGAUAACAUUUUGAACCGCAUGGUUCGACAUUGAAAGGCGGCUUCGGCUGUCACUUAUGGCUGGACCUGCUUCGCAUUAGCUAGUUGGUGAGGUAACGGCUCACCAAGGCAACGAUGCGUAGCCGACCUGAGAGGGUGAUCGGCCACACUGGGACUGAGACACGGCCCAGACUCCUACGGGAGGCAGCAGUAGGGAAUCUUCCGCAAUGGACGAAAGUCUGACGGAGCAACGCCGCGUGAGUGAUGAAGGCUUUCGGGUCGUAAAACUCUGUUGUUAGGGAAGAACAAGUGCUAGUUGAAUAAGCUGGCACCUUGACGGUACCUAACCAGAAAGCCACGGCUAACUACGUGCCAGCCGCCGCGGUAA